rnacentral:rRNA from 1 species
GUGGCGAACGGGUGAGUAAUACAUCGGAACGUGUCCGCUCGUGGGGGACAACCAGCCGAAAGGUUGGCUAAUACCGCAUGAGUUCUACGGAAGAAAGAGGGGGACCCGCAAGGGCCUCUCGCGAGCGGAGCGGCCGAUGACUGAUUAGCCGGUUGGUGAGGUAACGGCUCACCAAAGCAACGAUCAGUAGCUGGUCUGAGAGGACGACCAGCCACACUGGAACUGAGACACGGUCCAGACUCCUACGGGAGGCAGCAGUGGGGAAUUUUGGACAAUGGGCGCAAGCCUGAUCCAGCUAUUCCGCGUGUGGGAUGAAGGCCCUCGGGUUGUAAACCACUUUUGUAGAGAACGAAAAGACAUCUUCGAAUAAAGGAUGUUGCUGACGGUACUCUAAGAAUAAGCACCGGCUAACUACGUGCCAGCAGCCGCGGUAAUACGUAGGGUGCGAGCGUUAAUCGGAAUUACUGGGCGUAAAGGGUGCGCAGGCGGUUGAGUAAGACAGAUGUGAAAUCCCCGAGCUUAACUCGGGAAUGGCAUAUGUGACUGCUCGACUAGAGUGUGUCAGAGGGAGGUGGAAUUCCACGUGUAGCAGUGAAAUGCGUAGAUAUGUGGAAGAACACCGAUGGCGAAGGCAGCCUCCUGGGACAUAACUGACGCUCAGGCACGAAAGCGUGGGGAGCAAACAGGAUUAGAUACCCUGGUAGUCCACGCCCUAAACGAUGUUAACUAGUUGUUGGGAUGUAACAAUCUCAGUAACGCAGCCAACGCGAGAAGUUAACCGCCUGGGAAGUACGGUCGCAAGACUA